GCGGCGUCAAGAUUCGGGUUGGACGUGAUCUGUGUGGGCGUUAAAUUGAGCGUCUUGCAUUGAUUUGGGCCUUUUUACUUCCAGGCUGAGAUUACAAGAAGCCCAAAUGAUGAGUGUCCUCGCCAUUCUUGUUCGGUGUUUCUCAUGUGUCGCGCGAUCCCCUCUUCUCCGAGAAAGCUCUCGUCGAUGGCAGGCUCCCACGGACCCGACAAGGCCGCUCCUCCUUCCCGCCACGGCGGAUGCAUCGAGGCCAGGGCCGUGGCUCCGGUGGAAGCUUUGGGAACCCUGGGUUAGGGUUUAUGUAGAUCUAUGGGGUCAGGAUACGAUGGCACCGAUGGAUCCGACGAGGUCUCUGCGCCUCCUCGCGGCGGCGAAUAAAGUCGAGGCCCUGGCGGUAGUUACGGUGGAAACUAGGAAUCGAGGCUCUUAGUUCUUCUGCUUCCCUUUUCUUCUGAACGCCCUGGUUCCUUUUUUUUUUUUUUUUUUUUUUUUUCAUUUUCUUGAUCUGGGGUUAUGGUUUGUGUAGAUCUAGGGGUCAGAUUCGUACGAUUUCGACGGACCUGACGAGGCCGCUCCGCCUCCCCGCGGUGGCGAAUACAGCCGAGGACGGGCUGAUGGUUACGGUUGAAACUAGGGAUCGAGGCUCUUAGUUCUUCUGCUUCGUUUUUCUUUUGCGCGUUCUCGUUCUUCGUUUCUCCUUUCUUGAUCUAGGGUUAGGCUUUGUAUGGAUCCAAAGGUCAGGUUCCUACGGCUCCGAUGGACCUGAUAAGGACGUUUCGCCUCCGCGCGGCGGCGAAUACAGCCGACGACGGGCCGCUGGUUACCAUGGAAACUCCAUGAAUCCUGGUUCUUGGUUCUUUUCUUUUCAACGUUCUUGUCGUUCUUUUUUUCCUUUUCUUGUCAAGCAUUUAUGUUUGUGUAUAUCUAGGGUUUGGUUCUUGGGGCGGUCUUGAUAUAGGUGGUGGCGAUGGAUAUGGGGGCGGUGAGAUCUCAGUGGGGAAACAGGGGAGGUGGUGACCGCAGUGGAGGAGAUGGUUGGGAAGGCGAUUAGCACUGCCCCACCCGAGGACGGGCUGGUGGUUACCAUGGAAACUCCAUGAAUCCUGGUUCUUGGUUCUUUUCUUUUUUUUCUUUUCAAUGUUCUUGUCGUUCUAUUUUUCCUUUUCUUGUCAAGCAUUUAUGUUUGUGUAUAUCUAGGGUUUGGUUCUUGGCACAGUCUUGAUAUAGGUGGUGGCGAUGGAUACGGGGGCGGUGAGAUCUCAGUGGGGAAACAGGGGAGGUGGUAGGGGAUACCGAGGUGGUUACCGCGGUGGAGAUGGUUGGGAAGGCAAUUAGCACUGCCCCAUCCGAGGACGGGCCGGUGGUUACCAUGGAAACUCCAUGAAUCCUGGUUCUUGGUUCUUUUCUUUUUGUUUUUUCAACGUUAUUGUCGUUCUAUUUUUCCUUUUCUUGUCAAGCAUUUAUGUUUGUGUAUAUCUAGGGUUUGGUUCUUGGCGCAGUCUUGAUAUAGGUGGUGGCGAUGGAUAUGGGGGCAGUGAGAUCUCAGUGGGGAAACUGGGGAGGUGGUAGGGGAUACCUAGGUGGUGACCGCAGCGGAGGAGAUGGUUGGGAAAGUGAUUAGCACUGCCCUACCCUAGGUCUAAGCAUGGCCGUGGAAAUCUAGAUUUUUCGCAGAUUGGAGUGCAACAAGUGUGGUGCAUUUUGAACCCAGUGCUGGCACUGGGAAUGGUGGCGGUGGAAGUGACAGCGAGAAAGGAGUUAUGCCGGAACUGUGGUGGUAGGAACGAUGAUUACAGGGGAAGAGAUGCUUGAUAUGCUGGACGAGGUGAAUCUUAAAAUAAUAAUCAGGAGGAUAAGGGCUGUUAUGGCCAUGUUUUUUCCACCAGCUCCAGCUGCAUAUGGUAGUCUUGUAGGAAAAUUCCCCUCCCGUUUCCUAGUCCAUGUUGUGAAUUGUUUUUUUCUGUCCGCCUUCCAGUCGCUAUGGUCGCCCCAGUUCUUACCCUUCUCCGUAUGGAUCUCCUCCUCCAAACAGAUAUGGAAGUGAAUGUCUAGUAGCCCAUGGUGGACUAUCGUACAGCUAGAGGGGGCAUGGUGACCAUAUGAACCGUAGCCAUGAUAGUGUUGCUCCACCUCAUGGUGGAGGUGGUGCCCCUGUUGCUCCUGCUGUAGUUAAGCUAUAUGAUGACAAUUGCAGAGAAUUUUGUGAUAAAUAGUACUUACAUCUCAAACAGAUCUUUUGUAAUGGUAUGCACAGGUAUUAGUUAUUUUCUAUUUUAGUUUGCUUUGGUCUUUUUGUUCGCUGAGAUAGAGUGGUUAAUUAGGUCAUGUAACAGGACAAUGGUGCCUCUUUUUUGGAAAUAAAAUGUUGUUAUUUUGUAGUUA